GGGGGAAGAUGGGGAGGAGAAGGUUGUAAGCGAGAAUGAGGGAGGUGUGGGUUGGUAAGGGAAGGGAAAGGAGUGAGGGUAUAGUUUAGGAACCUACCAGUAUGUAUUCUGAGAUUGCUGGCAAUUAGUAGUUACAGAAAAGAAGGAGAAACAUUACUGAUUAAAUGACCGGUUCAAUUUUCUUUUAUUUAUAUUAAUUCAAGAAAUAAGCAACAAAAAUGGGGAGGCUCCAGAAGCCCGAAGAAAACUGUGAGUAUAAAUCUAAAAUGUAAUUAGGGAUGAGAAUAAAGUAGACGGCAGGCCAAAAAUGAUGCAGCUUAGUAUCUAUUUGAACUUUCCCAGUGUAAACUGAAAGAAGAAGGCUGACCUUGGUGACGAAGAUGAAAUCGGAGGUGGUCUUGCAAAUACAGCAGCGGCGAUCGUGGCAGAUGAAGCGCAGGCGAACAACGCAGGUCGAGCACACAUCCUUGUGUCCGCAUGCUCCGUAGGCCACCCAUUCCAGGCUCUCGGCGCACACUGCACAGCUGUCGUCCAUCCUUCUUAUAUCUCAAUAAUACACUACUAUUUGUUGCUCUUAAUCCUCUCUCUCUUCUUCUCUUCUCUUCCCUUCUCUUUUGCGCUCUUCCUCUUCUUC
rnacentral:lncRNA from 1 species